rnacentral:rRNA from 1 species
GACGAACGCUGGCGGCGUGCCUAAUACAUGCAAGUAGAACGCUGAAGGAGGAGCUUGCUUCUCUGGAUGAGUUGCGAACGGGUGAGUAACGCGUAGGUAACCUGCCUGGUAGCGGGGGAUAACUAUUGGAAACGAUAGCUAAUACCGCAUAAGAGUAGAUGUUGCAUGACAUUUGCUUAAAAGGUGCAAUUGCAUCACUACCAGAUGGACCUGCGUUGUAUUAGCUAGUUGGUGAGGUAACGGCUCACCAAGGCAACGAUACAUAGCCGACCUGAGAGGGUGAGCGGCCACACUGGGACUGAGACACGGCCCAGACUGCUACGGGAGGCAGCAGUAGGGAAUCUUCGGCAAUGGACGGAAGUCUGACCGAGCAACGCCGCGUGAGUGAAGAAGGUUUUCGGAUCGUAAAGCUCUGUUGUAAGAGAAGAACGAGUGUGAGAGUGGAAAGUUCACACUGUGACGGUAUCUUACCAGAAAGGGACGGCUAACUACGUG